rnacentral:rRNA from 1 species
GAUGAACGCUGACAGAAUGCUUAACACAUGCAAGUCGAUGGGGAAGUGGUGCUUGCACCAUGGUAACCAUGGCGGACGGGUGAGUAACGCGUAAGGAACUUGCCUGCGGGACUGGGAUAACAGCAGGAAACUGCUGAUAAUACCGGAUAAGGUCAUUAAGCUGCAUAGCUUAGUGAUGAAAGGAGACGCCUGCGGAGAGCCUUGCGUCCUAUUAGCUAGUUGAGGGGUAACGGCCCACCAAGGCGAAGAUAGGUAGCCGGCCUGAGAGGGUGGACGGCCACAAGGGGACUGAGAUACGGCCCUUACUCCUACGGGAGGCAGCAGUGGGGAAUAUUGGACAAUGGGGGCAACCCUGAUCCAGCAAUUCUGUGUGCACGAAGACGGUUUUCGGAUUGUAAAGUGCUUUCAGCAGGGAAGAAGGAAGUGACGGUACCUGCAGAAGAAGCGACGGCUAAAUACGUG